rnacentral:rRNA from 1 species
GAUGAACGCUGGCGGCGUGCCUAAUACAUGCAAGUCGAGCGAACAGACGAGGAGCUUGCUCCUUUGACGUUAGCGGCGGACGGGUGAGUAACACGUAGGUAACCUACCUAUAAGACUGGGAUAACUUCGGGAAACCGGAGCUAAUACCGGAUAAUAUUUCGAACCGCAUGGUUCAAUAGUGAAAGAUGGCUUUGCUAUCACUUAUAGAUGGACCCGCGCCGUAUUAGCUAGUUGGUAAGGUAACGGCUUACCAAGGCAACGAUACGUAGCCGACCUGAGAGGGUGAUCGGCCACACUGGAACUGAGACACGGUCCAGACUCCUACGGGAGGCAGCAGUAGGGAAUCUUCCGCAAUGGGCGAAAGCCUGACGGAGCAACGCCGCGUGAGUGAUGAAGGUCUUCGGAUCGUAAAACUCUGUUAUUAGGGAAGAACAAACGUGUAAGUAACUGUGCACGUCUUGACGGUACCUAAUCAGAAAGCCACGGCUAACUACGUG